rnacentral:rRNA from 1 species
UACGUAGGUCCCGAGCGUUGUCCGGAUUUAUUGGGUUUAAAGGGUGCGUAGGCGGGAUGCCAAGUCAGCGGUAAAAAUGCGGUGCUCAACGCCGUCGAGCCGUUGAAACUGGCGUUCUUGAGUGGGCGAGAAGUAUGCGGAAUGCGUGGUGUAGCGGUGAAAUGCAUAGAUAUCACGCAGAACUCCGAUUGCGAAGGCAGCAUACCGGCGCCCUACUGACGCUGAGGCGCGAAAGCGUGGGUAUCGAACAGG